rnacentral:lncRNA from 1 species
AUCGAAGCCUUUGGAUCUCACCGGGGUGCUAGCUCCCUUGCAGAGAUGGCUAUGGAUGGCUGAAGUCCUCUCCUUUGAAUCAACCUUUGAUUGGCUUGAGAGGAAGAAGAAGAAGGAUGGAUUUAGGAAGAAGAAAACAAGACCCGCAGCCUUUCUCUUUUUCUUCCUUUUUGGAACCAAGAUGAAGAAGGAAGAGGGCGUCCCAAGCUUUUCUUUUUCUUC